AAUAAGAUCAUUUUUCAGUUUUUUGAUAAUGUUUUGACUCUUCGUCUUAUUUAAAAUUUUUUUGCGAUUAAUAUUUUUAUUCUUACUAGAUGAUAAAACAUGAAUAGUACUUUAUGCGUGACUAAUUUUUUAAGUUUUUAUACAAAUUUUUUAAAUAAGACGAAUGGUCAAACAUUGGACACGGAAAAAC
rnacentral:pre_miRNA from 1 species